rnacentral:rRNA from 1 species
UACGUAGAGUGCAAGCGUUAAUCGGAAUUACUGGGCGUAAAGCGUGCGCAGGCGGUUUUGUAAGUUUGUCGUGAAAUCCCCGGGCUUAACCUGGGAAUUGCGAUGGAGACUGCAAGGCUUGAAUCUGGCAGAGGGGGGUAGAAUUCCACGUGUAGCAGUGAAAUGCGUAGAGAUGUGGAGGAACACCGAUGGCGAAGGCAGCCCCCUGGGUCAAGAUUGACGCUCAUGCACGAAAGCGUGGGGAGCAAACAGG